UCUACAAAGCAGCUGACUUCUCCAAAAUGUCAAGGUCAUCAAAACCAAGGAAAGUCUGAGAAACUGGCGCAAUCAAGAGAAGGAGCCCUAGGAGUCAUGACAACCAAAUGUAACGUGGUAUCCUGGAUGGAUUCUGGAAGGGAAAAAGAAUACGAGACAAACGCAUAAUGCUUCAUUUGCUGGAUGACCAGGCAAUCCAUUUCCAAGAUCGACUUGUACACAAUGCUCCUGUUGGGCCAAUGUGCUGUGCACAGCGCUCCAAAGUCUCUAGGGGGUGAUGCUGAACGGCAAGAAACCACUUCUGAGGCAAGACAGCACAAACCCUGAGGUGGUUACUCUUGGAAGAUGUGGCAAAAGAACCUGGAAGAGAAGCUACCUCCUGGUGAAGAGCUGCUGAUUCAGCUUCUGUUGAGAAGGUAUACACAACUUGGCUGUGGAAUGGAAAAUAACUCCAAUUUUUCUUUACCAAGAUGGUCAUGACAUAAAAGAAGUGCAUUAAUAAAGAUUCUUUGAUGACCUGGGAAAAUGCAUAUGACGCAAGUAAAAGACAACAAGUUGCAUUGAAAAUCAGGGCCAGGUCUUUUUCUGGCCAGGGUUUAGUUUGGACAUGUCUGGAAUGCAGGAGUAUGAAACCCUUUGAAACAACACGGAGAGUGGGUGUUUCCAGCUGAGAGGAGCAUUUGAUCUUUUCUUGGAAAAUAAGUACCUGCACUACAAAGGAGGGUUGCUAUCCCCAGAGAAGGACACAGGAAGCAUAUGGGACCAACCAUGAAGAAAGGACAGAACCAUCUAAAAUACUAUAAAUGUUAAGUUGUUUGGGAAGCAUGAAGAAUUUUUAUUUCUGGCCACUGAGCAUUCUAUUUAUUUAUUACUUUUUUUUUUUCAAGAGUGGAUGAGUCUUUACUUGGAACACUUUGAAACCUAGAGUCGCAUUUUUCAACAAGAGAAAUGUAAAGAUUUAGCACAUAUGGAUGUUCAGUAAAUUCUAACUCAU